rnacentral:rRNA from 1 species
GACGAACGCUGGCGGCGUGCUUAACACAUGCAAGUCGAACGGAAAGGCCCUGCUUUUGUGGGGUGCUCGAGUGGCGAACGGGUGAGUAACACGUGAGUAACCUGCCCUUGACUUUGGGAUAACUUCAGGAAACUGGGGCUAAUACCGGAUAGGAGCUCCUGCUGCAUGGUGGGGGUUGGAAAGUUUCGGCGGUUGGGGAUGGACUCGCGGCUUAUCAGCUUGUUGGUGGGGUAGUGGCUUACCAAGGCUUUGACGGGUAGCCGGCCUGAGAGGGUGACCGGCCACAUUGGGACUGAGAUACGGCGCAGACUCCUACGGGAGGCAGCAGUGGGGAAUAUUGCAGAAUGGGCGGAAGCCUGAUGCAGCAACGCCGCGUGCGGGAUGACGGCCUUCGGGUUGUAAACCGCUUUCGCCUGUGACGAAGCGUGAGUGACGGUAAUGGGUAAAGAAGCACCGGCUAACUACGUG